UUCGUCUUAGUAAUAGAGAGGUUAAGAUACCCCGAUUCCGGUUUACGGGUACGGGUGAUAUACACGUACCCGUACCCGUAAAUCGGGGAAUAACUUGUAACUUAAGAAAUCCAAGAUACUCCGGCGUGAGAAAACCGAUCAGAGAAUGGCAACUUUCGCUGUUGAGGUUCGCCAUAAAUUGUUAAAAGCUUUGACCAGUAUAUGUGCAUUAUUUAUUUGGGUAAGAUGUUGAAAAUGUGUACUAUUUAAACGGCCCAAAAAUAGUAAACAGAAAACACCCGUACCCGUUUGUCGUUUACGUGUAGACCACGGUUUACCGCGGGGAAACGGGUAGAAAUUACGGGUAAAAUUGCUGACAUCAGCAAAAAUUGGUAAACAAAAUGGCGAUACUCGUACCCGUAAACCGGAACCGGGGUAUCUUAACCUCUCUAAUGUUAA